AUUGAACGCUGGCGGCAGGCCUAACACAUGCAAGUCGAACGAGUGGCGGACGGGUGAGUAAUGUAUGGGAAACUGCCUGAUGGAGGGGGAUAACUACUGGAAACGGUAGCUAAUCCCGCAUACUAUCAGAUGUGCCCAGAUGGGAUUAGCUUGUUGGUGGGGUAACGGCUCACCAAGGCGACGAUCCCUAGCUGGUCUGAGAGGAUGACCAUCCAAACUGGGACUGAGACACGGUCCAGACUCCUACGGGAGGCAGCAGUGGGGAAUAUUGCACAAUGGGCGCAAGCCUGAUGCAGCCAUGCCGCGUGUAUGAAGAAGGCCUUCGGGUUGUAAAGUACUUUCAGCGGGGAGGCGUUACCCGCAGAAGAAGCACCGGCUAACUCCGUGCCAGCAGCCGCGGUAAUAC
rnacentral:rRNA from 1 species